GACGAACGCUGGCGGCGUGCUUAACACAUGCAAGUCGAACGGAAAGGCCCUGCUUUUGUGGGGUGCUCGAGUGGCGAACGGGUGAGUAACACGUGAGUAACCUGCCCUUGACUUUGGGAUAACUUCAGGAAACUGGGGCUAAUACCGGAUAGGAGCUCCUGCUGCAUGGUGGGGGUUGGAAAGUUUCGGCGGUUGGGGAUGGACUCGCGGCUUAUCAGCUUGUUGGUGGGGUAGUGGCUUACCAAGGCUUUGACGGGUAGCCGGCCUGAGAGGGUGACCGGCCACAUUGGGACUGGGAUACGGCCCAGACUCCUACGGGGGGCAGCGGUGGGGAAUAUUGCACAAUGGGCGGAAGCCUGAUGCAGCACCGCCGCGGGGGGGAGGACGGCCUUGGGGUUGUAAACCGCUUUCCCCUGGAACGAAGCGGGGGUGACGGUAAUGGGUAAAGAAGCCCCGGCUAACUACGU
rnacentral:rRNA from 1 species